GACGAACGCUGGCGGCGUGCCUAAUACAUGCAAGUAGAACGCUGAAGAGGGGAGCUUGCUCUUCUUGGAUGAGUUGCGAACGGGUGAGUAACGCGUAGGUAACCUGCCUUGUAGCGGGGGAUAACUAUUGGAAACGAUAGCUAAUACCGCAUAACAAUAGGUGACACAUGUCAUUUAUUUGAAAGGGGCAAUUGCUCCACUACAAGAUGGACCUGCGUUGUAUUAGCUAGUAGGUGAGGUAACGGCUCACCUAGGCGACGAUACAUAGCCGACCUGAGAGGGUGAUCGGCCACACUGGGACUGAGACACGGCCCAGACUCCUACGGGAGGCAGCAGUAGGGAAUCUUCGGCAAUGGGGGCAACCCUGACCGAGCAACGCCGCGUGAGUGAAGAAGGGUUUCGGAUCGUAAAGCUCUGUUGUAAGUCAAGAACGAGUGUGAGAGUGGAAAGUUCACACUGUGACGGUAGCUUACCAGAAAGGGACGGCUAACUACGUG
rnacentral:rRNA from 1 species